GGAACUUUAACGCUGUAGUUUCCGGGGGGAUGUUGCCCAGAAUGCCGCGCGGCCGGUGACGGUUGAUUUGAAUCCGCCGCCAGCGCGAGGCCGGGGAGAAUGAUGAGCGGGAGAGCGCUCAAGAUAUUGGCUUGUGGAGAUGUUGAAGGGAAACUGAAUGCAUUGUUUAACAGAGUGCGAUCAAUUCAAAAGAAAAGUGGAGAUUUUGAUUUGCUGUUGUGUGUGGGAAAUUUCUUUGGAACCACAGCAGAGGCAGAAUCAGAAUGGGCAGAAUACAAAUCUGGAGCCAAGAAAGCUCCCAUGCAAACAUAUGUAUUGGGAGCCAACAAUCAGGAGACCACAAAAUAUUUCCCAGAUGUAGAUGGAUGCGAAUUGGCAGAAAACAUAACUUAUUUAGGUCGUAAAGGUGUUUUUACAGGUGCAUCGGGUUUGCAGAUUGCUUACUUGAGUGGUACAGAGACCCAGCAUGAACCUGCACCUGCUUAUUGCUUUACAUCAAAAGAUGUGACCACACUGCAGAGUUCGCUAAUGGCCAGUUCCAAAUUUAAGGGUGUGGACAUAUUGUUGACAUCACAAUGGCCAAAAGGAGUGUGGCAAUAUGGAAAUAAUCUGGAAGCUAUUGAUAUAAAGUCAUGCGGCUCUAUCUCUGUAGCUCAUCUUGCAUUUGCUCUAAAACCACGAUAUCACUUUGCUGCAUUGGAAGGAGCCAAUUAUGAAAGGUUGCCUUACAGAAACCAUAUGACACUACAGGAAAAUGCACAGCAUGUCAGCAGGUUCAUAGCACUGGCAAAUCUCAGCAAUUCUAGUAAGAAAAAGUACUUGUAUGCAUUUAACAUUAUGCCGCUAAGUUCUAUGGAUCCAGUUGAACUAGUGAAACAGCCUAUGGAUGUCACAGAAAGUCCAUAUAGGAAAAUGACCAAGGAAUUUCAAAAAACAAAACUAGGGGAAACUGCAACGGAAGAGUCUCAGUUCUUCUUUGACUUGAGCAAACGAGAAGGAAAGAAAAGAUCCUCCGAAGGAGGAAGACCUUCACCUCAUCAAUCAAAACAGCCCCGAAAGCCACCUCAGCCCACAGGUCCUUGCUGGUUUUGCCUUGCUAGUCCUGAAGUUGAAAAGCACUUGGUUAUCAGUAUUGGUACGCAUUGUUAUAUUGCCCUUGCAAAAGGUAGCUUAACCCCUGAUCAUGUACUUAUUUUGCCCAUUGGACACCAUCAGUCAGUGCUAGAGCUUCCUUCGGAAGUCAUAGAAGAAGUAGAGGAGUGUAAACUGGCAUUGAAAAAGUUUUACAAGAGCAUUGGGAAAAGGUUUGUUAUGUUUGAAAGAAACUACAGGAGUCAACACUUACAGUUGCAGGUGGUUCCUGUCCCUGUUCAAUGUUGUACGAUUGAUGAUAUUAAAGAGGCUUUUAUUGUGCAAGCAGAGGAACAGCAGAUGGAGCUCUUGGAGAUCCCUGAACAUUCCGAUCUCAAGCAAAUAAUUCAACCUGGAUCGGCAUAUUUCUAUGUUGAACUGGACAGUGGAGAAAAACUGUUGCACAGAAUCAAGAAGCAAUUCCCUUUACAGUUUGGAAGGGAGGUUUUGGCAAGUGAAUCUGUCCUAAAUAUACCAGAUAAAGCCAACUGGAGGGAAUGUAAAUAUAGCCGAGAAGAUGAGGAAGAAUUUGCUAAGGCUUUCAGGGAAGGAUUUCAACCAUAUGAUUUUUCCUUGCUUGAGUGAAUAAGAUUGUAACAUAUUUAAAUUAUUAUGAAUUCUUCCAAUAGCACAGGUACAAUUUCCAAAACCUGUGCACAGAUACCUUAGUGUGAACCAUGGACUUUGGUGUUGACAUUAUUCUACCUUCUUGAGUUGGGUCCUGAGCCCUAGAAAAAGCAAAGAUAUUUUGGGUUAGAAAUGGAUAUUACGAUUAUGGGGAACUAAUAAGAAUGCUACCUCAAGCUGCUUUGAGAUGGUUGUCUCCUUGUGAUUGCUCGAAUACACGACCACAACCUGUACCUGAGCCUCUUGUGGUUCAUUUGUCAAAGAUACCACAACAAUUGGCAUAGUUGGCAGAAUACUCGGAUCGGAUCCUAGGGACGGCUCUGCAAAGUGGAACUAAUCUCAACAACUGACCGGUGAAGACUGGGAUGGUUAUCUGCUUAAGUUCACAAUAUUAAUUGCAAUAUCGACGCUCGUGGGCAUGGCGAUACAGGCAACAAGGUCAGGGAUUGUCACGGCUCGACCCGCACUGCAGGAGGGACUUUGGUACAGCAUGGACAGUGCUGAAUGCAACACACAAUGGGGAAUGCUAAAUGUAACAGUAGAAGAACAAGUGUAUUUGAAUUGUAGCAAGGGUUUGCUUCAGAUUGGGUGCGGAAGUCUCAGGGAUAUGACACGCAUGAGCGGUUGGUGGGGGCUAUUCGGGAAAGCUGGCUCUUAUGUUAAGUUUCCAAAUCCAACUACUGUGUGCUUUAAACAUAAGGAGUGGGCAGAGGAGUUUGAUUUUUGUUUGUGAAACAGAGUUAUGUUUAUGUAGCAUGCUUGACAAUGUAUGCACCGAUGAUUACUCAUUCCCACCCUCAGAAUUAUAAAUGGAACAUUUGUAGCCCCAACGAUAACGAUGUACCAACUUGGAGAAAUAGUGAUGGUAGACGAACAUGGGAGAUACAUCCUAGAGAGGAGAUUAGUACCACUACCCAGCCACGUCCCACGAUUGUAUCAACAAUCCAAGCAGAGGCAAUUGAAGCCUCUCAGCCCACACCAAUUGGCCCAUCUUGUCCGGCUAUGAGUCCAGGUCUGAUGAGUGGUCUCGUAUUGGUUAAUUAUAAUAAAGUUUUGUAUGAUAACGUGCAUCAUGAGCUCGUACCUGUAGCCUUGAACAUAUCCGAUAUAGCCCUGCCCCAGUGGUGCUCAAUCCAUAUUCAUGCGCUUUAUACAGCUCUGAUGGGCUAGUUGAUGACUGAAGCAGCUCAGUUCAGUGGUGGAAUGCAAUCAAUGGUUACACCUCCAGGUUUAGGAGGGAACCGAGUUAAGUGCAGCCUGAUAAAUGACGCUGCUAUGAUAUUCAAUACAGGGACAUCAAUGGUUAAUUCUAUUGACCUGGCAAUUGUUGACCAGAAGGGCCGGACCUUGAGCUCCAAACUUAAGGAAAUUUUAGAGUGGGACAGGAAAUUUACAACAUCCAGUUAAAUACAGACCAAGACAAGACACAGUUAAUUCAAAACCUGGCUACCGUGCUCGAAGGUCAUGCGGUAUCUAUCAAUAAACUGAUCAGGAUAGGAAAAAAAUAUUUCGGAUGAAGCAAACAGAAAUGAUGUUUGCAGCACCUAUGGAUCCUGGGCAUUGAAACAAGCUCAAGAGAAUUUAAGACAGAUUAAUGAAGGGGUAGUCCCUUUAUGGGUAACUAAUGAACAUUUAUUUAAUCUUUCACGACAUAAGGAUCAUGACUUGACUGGGUGCCAGCUCAGAGGUUUAACGUGUAUAUAGAAUGCACGUUGAAUGUAUAGUGAAUAAUAACAUGCUAAUAGGCAUUAACUUAGUGAUACCUGUUAUACCUAUGCCAACACCUGGCAGAACAUUAUAUAGAGUUGAAAAUAUUGGGGUGAUACAGGCAGAUUAUUAUAUUAGGUACCAUGACAUUCCGCCAAAUGCAGUGGAUAUAGAAGGGAGUAUAAUUAGCACCAAUUAGAAGGGUGUAGUAUAGAGGCCACCACAGUAGUAUGCGCACAUCCAAUAUAUAAGACGGAAGAAGCGAGUUGUGGAUUUAAAGCAGUAGCAAAUUGUACAAUGGAAACUACAUGGGCUGCAAAAGGACCGACCCAUGUUGCAUAUAUGGGGAAUGGGAGAUAUUGUAUUACCACGUGGCAGCAAAAGAUCCAGUAUGGGAGCAACCGGAUGUGCCCCAUCCACAAUCAUUCAGUGUGCCUACACCCACAGGUGCCAGCAAGGUUGGGGAAGGUGGAACUGGUCGAAAUAUACAAGAGAGGAGCGGCUACUAUUCAGGGCAUGGAAUGCCUUAAGGAUAACCUGACACAGUAUUUGAACCAGUUCUCUUAUGAAAUCCUCUUAAUACCAGAGCACCUAACCACGAUUCAGAGACAGGCUCAGCAGAUAUAUAGAACUUGCUAUACACUGCAGCAACAGGUUAGAGCCUUCAAAGAGGAUAUCGAGCAAAUAGAUUCCUCCACAUGAUGGGAGAUUCUGUGGAUUUGGGGCUCAAAUGUACAAAUACACCCAUGGAUUUGGAUUAUCUCCCAUGCCGUGGUUAUGAUUCAGCUGAUAUUAGUUAUAUAUUUAAUAUUCCUGAUUCAUCGUACCCAAAGGUCGCAAAAGAGGUGGCAUUGGGGGAUGUUUAACUGGUGGAGAAAAGGUUUAGCAAGUCAGAGGCCUGAAUUGAAGGGCCAGAUGAUACAGAUGGUCUGAGCUAGUACCUUUACAAUCCAAAGCUGGAUACUUGGCCAAUAUCAACCCACACCAGUACGUACGGUGGUACGUAAAGGGACGGACAGUACCACUGUAGUUGGCUAUCUUGGACUUGGCCAAGAGCCAAAAGGGAGAACUGUUAGGGGGAACACAGUAAGAAUUUAUUGAAAGGGAAUUACUUAGAAUCUCCAGGCAGACAGUGUCAUCAAGUACAUUAACAAUUAAGGGUUACCAGAUGAACUUUGCACAGCCUUAGGGCCUGUAAUCACCAGAAAGACCCUGGGAACCAGACUGGAGACGGAGGAUGAAAACAAUAUAGAUUAAGUGUGCUCUUCAACAGAUAAGGAAAGGACAGAUGGUCCCAGCUUAGACAGGGGAAGAAGGCUCUGUCAGGGUGAAGGGGGAUGUAUGUGCUGAACAAUGUUCUUGUAUGUGAUCAGUGAUGUAUAAAUAAGCAAUAUACUUGUAAUUUGGUAGAGUGCUACCUCAAGCUGCUUUGAGGUGGUUCUCUGCUUGCAAUUGCUCGAAUAAAUGAUCCUAACCUGA